rnacentral:lncRNA from 1 species
AAGAUAAUCUCGCAUAACAACCAGCUCAUGGCAUUACAGAUAGCUGAACAAGUUAAUAGACCACAGGAAAGACUGCAUAUUCUUCUUCCAGCCAGCCAGAACAUAUGACACCUUUGGUUUCAUUAGAGGAAGGAAGGAAGGAUAUUUCUGAAUGGAGUAGACCAAGCCACUUUAAUGUUAACCCUGGAGUAGAAGCUUGGACCAAAUAAGUAGAGACCAGGCCACUUUAAUGUUAACCCUGGAGUAGAAGCUUGGACCAAAUAAGUAGAGACCAAGCCACUUUAAUCUUGACCCUGCAGCUAGCACCAAUGUCACAUUCUUUCUCUGUUACGCCGCCGUCUUUUUUGGGUUCGAACACAGCAUCACCUGUUGCAAUGGGUAUUUUCAAGCUACCACCACAUGCAGAGUAGGCC